UUUAACUGAAGAGUUUGAUCAUGGCUCAGAUUGAACGCUGGCGGCAGGCUUAACACAUGCAAGUCGAGCGGGGGAAGGUAGCUUGCUACUGGACCUAGCGGCGGACGGGU
rnacentral:rRNA from 1 species